UCCUGGUCCUCGGCUAGGCGGCUUGGAGUCGCGGCGUAACUCGGGAGCCAGCCUGACGCCGGCGGACCCCGCCUGUGAUCCUGGCAACGAUGGAUGAUGACUUGAUGUUGGCACUGCGGCUUCAGGAGGAGUGGAACUUGCAGGAGGCGGAGCGCGAUCAUGCCCAGGAGUCCCUGUCGCUAGUGGACGCGUCGUGGGAGUUGGUGGACCCCACACCGGACUUGCAGGCACUGUUUGUUCAGUUUAACGACCAAUUCUUCUGGGGCCAGCUGGAGGCCGUCGAGGUGAAGUGGAGCGUGCGAAUGACCCUGUGUGCUGGGAUAUGCAGCUAUGAAGGGAAGGGUGGAAUGUGUUCCAUCCGUCUCAGCGAACCCCUUUUGAAGUUGAGGCCAAGAAAGGAUCUUGUAGAGGUAUUUUUCAUGUAAACUUGCUUCCUAGCGCAGUAAUUUACAAAUACUUGUCAUUGAUUUAGACUGCUGUGAAUUCGCCUGUAUGUAUCGUUAAAAAAAGUCACUUUGCCCUCAGUGCAAGCUUGAAUUAUGGGGCAAACAAUAAUGAACACCUUAUGUUUUUUAUAGUGCUUCAUAGUAAAAAAAAAAAAAAAAAAAA
rnacentral:sRNA from 1 species